UGGUGGAUGAUUGUUUUGAUGUGCUCU
rnacentral:piRNA from 1 species